UCCAGGUGAUUUGCAGUGUUUUUGAAGAGGCUCAGAGGAGACCUGAAGCAUCCUGUCUCCCUCCUGUUUGAUCCGUUUUCCUCACCAUUCCCUUACUGCUAUCUGUUGGCCAGAACAUGGGAUCACAAAGAUAUGAGAUGAGCACCAAACCCUGGACCAUCUUAUCAUCCUGGCACUCCAUUAUCCACCUUCAUCUGUCUCACGGGUAAACAACUAUUUGGUCUCUCCACUCCUCACCCUCUGGCAGAUCAUUCCUUCAACCCAUUGGUUUCCAGGUUCCAGUUUCCCUGCCCAUGUCACUGCACUGUAAAUAAACAC